GUUGUACCUGCCGGACCCGACUGCUAUCGGGGUAGGGCUAAGCCAUGGAAGUCGAACGCCCCGCCGCUGCGGGGCGUGGCGCACGGCUGAGUAACACGUGGCUAACCUACCCUCGGGAGGGGGAUAACCUCUCGGGAAACUGGGGCUAAUCCCCCAUAGGCGGGGAGGCCUGGAAAGGUUCCCCGCCAAAAGGGGGCGCAGGGGGCCAUCGCCUGCGCUCCGCCCGAGGAUGGGGCUGCGGCCUAUCAGGUAGUUGGCGGGGUAACGGCCCGCCAAGCCGAAGACGGGUAGGGGCCGUGAGAGCGGGAGCCCCCAGAUGGGCACUGAGACAAGGGCCCAGGCCCUACGGGGCGCACCAGGCGCGAAAACUCCGCAAUGCGGGAAACCGUGACGGGGCUACCCCGAGUGCCCCCCUUGUGGGGGCUUUUCCCCGCUGUAAGAAGGCGGGGGAAUAAGCGGGGGGCAAGUCUGGUGUCAGCCGCCGCGGUAAUACCAGCCCCGCGAGACCGGGGCCCUAAACAAGCCCCGGCGCGACUGGUCGGGGUGAUUAUUGGGCCUAAAGCGGCCGUAGCCGGCCCGGUAAGUCCCCCCUGAAAGUCUCGGGCUCAACCCGAGAAGCGGGGGGAUACUGCCGGGCUAGGGGGCGGGAGAGGCCGAGGGUACUCCCGGGGUAGGGGCGAAAUCCUAUAAUCCCGGGAGGACCACCAGUGGCGAAGGCGCUCGGCUGGAACGCGCCCGACGGUGAGGGCCGAAAGCCGGGGGAGCGAACCGGAUUAGAUACCCGGGUAGUCCCGGCUGUAAACGAUGCGGGCUAGGUGUUGGGCGGGCGAGAGAGCCCGCCCAGUGCCGCAGGGAAGCCGCUAAGCCCGCCGCCUGGGGAGUACGGCCGCAAACCUGGUUAGGGCUUAGAGCCCUACCGGGGCGGAAGGCUGAAACUUAAAGGAAAGGGAGGCUGGAAGCUGGGUGCAAAGGCUUAAAUAGCUCUUUUAGGCUUCUAAGUUCCAUCUUUACUCUCUUCAUCUGUCUACCCAGCUUCCACUUCCCCCUGAAUUGGCGGGGGAGCACACAAGGGGUGGAGCCUGCGGCUUAAUUGGAGUCAACGCCGGGAAUCUUACCGGGGGCGACAGCAGGAUGACGGCCAGGCUAAAGGCCUUGCCCGACACGCUGAGGGGAGGUGCAUGGCCGUCGCCAGACACAGUCAUGGCUCCCGUAGUGUUUUCAAAGCUCGCGUCAUAAAGGUUACUUUUAAUAGAAUCCAUUCGAUGGAAUUGAAAGAUGGAAUUGAAGGUGAUAAGAUUAUGGGAGCCAUGAUGUGGGCGAGCUCGUGCCGUGAGGUGUCCUGUUAAGUCAGGCAACGAGCGAGACCCCUGCCCCUAGUUGCUACCCCGGGGGCGACCCUGGGGGCACACUAGGGGGACUGCCGCCGCUAAGGCGGAGGAAGGAGGGGGCCACGGCAGGUCAGCAUGCCCCUAAUCCCCCGGGCUGCACGCGGGCUACAAUGGCGGGGACAGCGGGUGCCGACCCCGAGAGGGGGAGGCAAUCCCUUAAACCCCGCCGCAGUUGGGAUCGAGGGCUGAAACUCGCCCUCGUGAACGUGGAAUCCCUAGUAACCGCGCGUCAACAUCGCGCGGUGAAUACGUCCCUGCUCCUUGCACACACCGCCCGUCAAGGGC
rnacentral:rRNA from 1 species